AACGUAGGAGCCUAGCGUUAUCCGAAUUUACUGGGCGUAAAGCGCGUGCAGGCGGCUUCGUAAGUGGAUUGUGAAAUCUCCCGGCUCAACUGGGAGGGGACGGUCCAGACUGCGAGGCUGGAGGCAGGGAGAGGGAGGUGGAAUUCCCGGUGUAGUGGUGAAAUGCGUAGAGAUCGGGAGGAACACCAGUGGCGAAAGCGGCCUCCUGGCCCUGACCUGACGCUGAGACGCGAAAGCUAGGGGAGCGAACGGG
rnacentral:rRNA from 1 species